CAGCGCCCACCCCAGCUGGUCACCAGAGACCCGGCAGAGAAAGACUUUUCAGGCAGAUCAAAUGUCCCAACCAGGGGCACAGUUUAAGCCUGCCCUUUAGACUGCAUUUGGUCACCCAGGCCUCAGCACAUCCCAGUUGCGUAAAAGGUUAGGAUUUCCAGCCUGCUUUGAGGUUGAGAUCUGCAGGGUAACAGCACAGAUGGGCCAAAAUGCAGGCCAGUGCCCUAACCCUAGGGCUUCCCCACCUCCAACAGGAUAGCCUCAGGCACACCCUAGCCAUCUGGCCUUUCAGUGACAUUUUACCCUCCCAGGGAAGCAUUUGAAGCAGCCCAGAAAUAACUCAGCCUCCAGGCCACAGAAAACCGAUCUGGGAGUGGGGACUGGGUCAGGAAAGCCUCCAGGGUGCUCCCAAAAGUUGGUCCCUAGAGGCCCUUGGAAGGGCUAACACCACUGGCCGCUGCGUACGGCAUAGGUACAUGGGAGUCCGUUGUAACAUCCCUCUGGGUUCAAGCGCCUGGACUAUCAGUCCAAAGAAGGUGUACCAGGUGCCCAUGGUGGUCCAAGCCCCGAGUUCUGGUCUGUGGUCCGUUCAGGGCCCCUUAAGUGCCUAUCAUCCAAGGAGGGACCAGCCUUGGCCCUGCCUUUGUGGUCUAAGUAGGUGACAGGAACUAAGGCAACUAUCUUCCUUGGUUAACAUUCCAGAUUUCCUCCCAAAACAACUAAGCAGCUAGUUGAGGCUAGCACCCAGUACCAUGGUGGCAGGGGAAGAAGUUGCUGAAAGACCUCCUUCCAAGUUCGUUUCCUCACUCCCUUCCCCUACCAUCAUACAAACAGGGAUAGCAGUGUGCUCUCCUUUCUGGGCCCUCAGCCCUGAGCCCACCAGCAUGUAAAGAAUGCCAUGGAAAGAAAGGCUUUUUCUGGAGAGGCGUCUAAGGUGCCGCAGAGGUUGGGCCACGGGCUUGCCGGGCCCUCCGCCCCACCUCAGCUGGCCUGCCCAGGCUCCAGGUUGUCCCGUCAGCUCACAUCAACUCUGCAGGGACCAGUUUCUGCAGGGCAGAAACACUGGUCUUGUUAGCCAAUCACCACCCCACCCCACCUCAGGCCCGAGAUCCCUGCAGGGCUGUCCUAGGAUAGUUGGGCUCAGAGUCCCACAUCGUAUGAGGAACCUUCCACGCUUGACUGUCACAAAAUGGGGCAGCCCUAGGGACCCGCUCCAUCUUGCCGUGGGAGCCCCUUCUCUGCAAGGUUAGGGUCAGCGUGUGGGGCUCUCUCUGGGCCACUUUCCAACAAAGUUCCACCUAGGCCUGCUGGGCAUUGCAAUGGCCACUCCUCCACAAAGCCAGGAUUUAAGGCUAACGGGAGGCUCAGAAGUCAUAAGUGCCCCCGAAACUCCCCAUCAUUGUCUGGCAAGGAGGUAGGUGGGGGUGGGGCUUGGGUUAGUGGCGGCAACCGACCAGACCCGCCUCACUCCAUCGGCCGACUGGAGGUAAAGGUCCAGCAAACCUAGGCGGGGCCCAGUGGGUCGGGAAAGGAAGGAAGCUCCGCCCAAGCGGCCUCGGGACGUGGGGGACGUGACCGCGCCAAGGGAGGAGCCGCCACCGUAUUGCCUGGAGUAGGCGGUCCUUCUCCACUCCUACCGUACUUUCAGAGUGCGGCGCCACAUGCCCUAAGGGGGGGAUCCUACGACUCACCCACAGAUUCGCUUUCCAGGCGCGCCAUUUCCCUCUGCCCUUUGCAAAAGCGAGCCGGGACGCGCGGCCGAGCCUCUGGGAUGCUGACCGAUGAACUGCGGUCUCGCAGAUAGUUCAUUAAAUGCAUCUGCCCCUCUUGGCCCAUUCCGCUAAUGGAAACUGAGGCCGGAGGCCUACUCUUGCCACUAGGGCGGUCUCCAUUCCUGCCCUGCUCCUGUGCCAGUGCCCAGUGCCAGGUGGACCAAGGCCUGGUCCAGAGGGUCUCCAUUUGCUAAGCACCACUAUCCAGAAGGUCCGACUUGGGGGGGGGGGCAAGGUGCCCUCCUGCACGUGGCUCCUCACCAGCCACCCCGCCCCCCGCCCUUUCCUGGCCAGUUCACAGCAGAAGUGGCCCUAGAGUCAGAAAUCCUGGCACACCAGCAUACUGUGUGGUCCCACAAACUGACCCCUUCCAUAUCGCUCCUUGAUGGCUCUUAUGUUCAGCAAUGCUUUCUCCUUGCUACCCCUCCAAAUUUAGACUUCCAGACUUCCAGGCAGGCCCUGCCCCAAGGUCACUGGUGAUGUGGGCAAGUCCAUCUUGGAACCAAACUAAUGGUUGUUCAAGGCUUUGUCGCCACCACAACGUCCCUGCCAAGAAGGCUCCACACUUACUUAGGUAGUUCCCCGGUGCCCCUUGAAGGGUAGUAGACCCAUCGUUUGCACCGCAUCCUAGCUGUGUGUUAGUCCCUGCCCAUCCUGAGGGAGCCCCCACAUUUUCGGGACUGUCCCCAUUUCUCACAGACAGACCCAACAUCCACUGGACACCAGCCAACUCUCAGGCCUGUGGAAUGAAGCUGAGAGCCCCGGGAGAUAACCUCCUGCCCCCUGCAUAAUCCACCCCCAGGUCUGGAUAAGCUAUUGUGUUGUAUGAGGGAGCCUUGCCAUUACGGCUCUGACCAUCACAGAAAGCGUUCCUGUCGGCCUGGACAUGCAGCCCUGUACGUCGGGUAGAGCAGACUCGAUUCUGCGGCCGCCCUUACCCGCCACCCAAACUCCAAGGAUCAUCGGUCCAGAGUUAGCGGCUUCCCUUGCACUUAAACCUGGACCAGCAUCCAGAAAACCCACUUUUCAGGUGACUGGAGGGUCCUUGCCUGGCUCCGCGCGCCAAGCAUCCCACCGCGCAUCCCGCCGCGCCUACCUGCCACCAACACCACAGCCAGCUACAGCGUCCGCCUCUGCCCGCCUCGGCUGCUCGGCGCCGAGCCGGGGGCGACUUUAAGUGCUCUCAUCCCUCGCGCGGCACGUCCCCCGCGCACGUCACCGCUGCCUGGCGCCGCCCCUGCCCUCCCGGUCCGGACCCCACGCUGCUGCCAGAGGGGGCGCCCCAGUCCCUGCGCCCCGACGGCUCGGUCACUGCCAUUCUGCACUUACCGGGGAGCCCGGGUCUGAUCCCGUUCUAUAGGCACCCCGGGCGCGGACCCCACCCAACACGGACCUUCUCACUGGUCUCUUCCGCGCCCUCAGACCCGGGCUGACCGCCUCACUUCCCCCUCGGCACCCCUUUCUGCUCCUCCAAUUAUUCCUUUCCAAGGCUGUGGGAUCCUUCAAUGAUUCUGGCAAGAGAGUGGCUACCUCCGAGACCCGGACCUUUUUGCCCUCCAUACCCAGGCCAGCGUCUUCUACCAGGACCUGACAUUACUCCAAAGAUGCUCCAGAGACCAUGAGCUUUCACGAUACCCAGACACCGUCCUGCAGAUGCGGGGACUCGUCACGUACUCUUCUUGGGCUAACAGUUCAGUGUGGCAGGAGCUUCAGACCAAAUAACGAAGGGCUGCCAGCAAGGAAACAGAAACCAAGCCAGUGCAUCCAAGGUCUCACUGCCUUCUCCUGUCUCCCAAAGGCCAGGAGCUGCACCCCCCACAGCCAGAUUUCUGCAGAGUCUGAGACCUAGAGGACCCAAUACUCCAUUUUCUGGGUGAAUCUAGGAGCAUUCAGGACCUAGAACCCACGAGCAAAACUCCCACAGCACAGCCGCUACUGUUAUAGCAAUGACGUGGGAGCUGUCUCUGUACCAGUGUCCCGUCUGCCCACCGUGGGCUGCACCAGCUCAGGAUGCCCUGUUCUGAAGGGAAGGUACCUGGGAAGAUGUAGCACUGCCCAGUGAUCCAGCCAGAUCCGGCCCUGCUCUCCACAAUCCUCCAUGUCCCUCCAGGCGUCUUACCAUCUGUCCCACCUCCUCCCAUUCCAGUCUACGCUUCAGGUCCCAUCAGGCCCUGGAAUGUGCUCUGAGGAGACGGAGUGGCUAGAACCCUGGGGGACAUGGACUUUCCCAAGAUCCCUGCCCCUGGGAACCAUGGGACGUGAAGGAUCUAUCGCCAGUGUUGAGCAAGCGUCCAGUCUCCCAGACAGGUUGGAAGCCAGGCUUCUCCCCUGUCUCCAAAAUGAUCUUAGAAACAGGGGAAGAAUUUUUUGAAGGUUCUGCUGGCAGCUGCCCCAUGGACGGUGGGUGAAAGAUCAAAUGUGUCCAGUGAGAAGUCGGGAAUCGUCCAGAUUCUGCAGAACUGUACAGAUGUGGAGAUUCUUCAUCAUCCCUCAGAUUAUAGCCUAGUCGCCGUGCCUAGCCAAGUCCACAUAAACCACCCAGCGCCAGUUGCUACCCCAUGAUGGACUGAGGCCAGGACAAGAUGGGUCAGGUGAAGAAGGCCAAGUUGCUGGAACAUUCUGUCCCAACCACAGCUCCCAUUCCUGGGGUCCCCAGCUGCCUGGCUCCUGCCCCUGCUCCCUGAGUGUUCCCUGUCCAGGGGAUCUAGUGACACACUCCUGAAGUUGUUACUCCACACCUAGGGCCCUCUUCCUCCAGGCCUUGCCGGUGCAGUGGGAUGCAGCCUUCCCAGGCCCAGACUGGAAAGGAGGACGGCUGUGUGAGCCUCACAGAAGCAGAGCGCUCACAGGACAUAGCCUGGACCCAAGACCAUGGGUUUGGGACCAACCCAUUCCUUCAUUCUACACUUUCCCCAGGGUUUUUUUC